UGAGGAAGUUAACUUACUGAACUCUGAACAUCUCCAACAGGUGCAAGGCAAGGGGGCUGGUGCCAAAAACGUGCUCAACAUCAGACCCUAAAAUGAACGGUAAGUCGAUGCAAAUAAAGUGAUUUACCACAACCACCACAGAGCCUUCAGCUUGAUUUGUAUGUUUGCCUCGACAGAGCUUGUCACCUUGUUCCUGCUGUUGUUGGCUCCUGGACUCGACUGGUGCUUUCCAGUCACAGCAGGUGGAAGCACGGUGUUGCAGGUGUUUUACUGCAAGUCUUCAGGAUGUGCUUUUAAUGUGACUCAAGUAUUUUGCAACGACGAGUUGCUCUUCAGUCACACUCAGAUUGCAGACUGCACAGGCCUCCCUCCACCUAAUACUGUGUGCCAGCACGGAGGUCGGGCAUUUGUUUCCAUCGAUACACCCGGUAGCUGCGAUUUUGAAGGAAUCAGUUACAUCAAGACCACAAAAUGUACAAACUCCACCAAAGCUUGUACCUUCACCAAUGCUACCACAUCAUCAUCAAAUACAACAAUGAAUGUACAGGAGCCCCAGAAAAGUCCCAUAUCACCCGCUGUCUAUGUGGUUCUUGUACUGGUACUGGUACCAGUGGUAUAUUUCUUCAAAAAGAGACACAACAGAGAUCAAAAUCAGCAGCCAGACAGCGAUAAGUCUGAACCUAUUCUAAAGAUGCAACAAGCCAGAGAAACCACAUUGAGUGAUACUAAAGGUGAUCAGAGCAGAUUGGAAAAUGGAUCAUUUCCUUCUCAGUGUGACCCAGAAACUUAAACAUGUGCUGAUUUUAAUAAACAC
ensembl:lncRNA